CCGCCUUGCAGUUUGAUCUCAGACUGCUGUGCUAGCAAUCAGCGAGACUACGUGGGCGUCGGACCCUCUGAGCCAGGUGCGGAAUAUAAUCUCGUGGUGCGCCGUUUUUUAAGCCCGUCAGAAAAGCGCAAUAUUCGGGUGGGAGUGACCCGAUUUUCCAGGUGCCGUCCGUCACCCCUUUCUUUGACUCAGAAAGGGAACUCCCUGACCCCUUGCGCUUCCCAAGUGAGGCAAUGCCUCGCCCUGCUUCGGCUCGCGCACGGUGCACGCACCCACUGACCUGCGCCCACUGUCUGGCACUCCCUAGUGAGAUGAACCCGGUACCUCAGAUGGAAAUGCAGAAAUCACCCGUCUUCUGCGUCACUCACGCUGGGAGCUGUAGACCGGAGCCGUUCCUAUUCGGCCAUCUUGGCUCCUCCCAAGCAGGAGUGUGUCCAUUAGAAGGAUGGCCCUGGGAUGCUGGAGGGCUGAGAGCUGGACCAGAAAUAUAUUUCAGUAACAACUGUUCUAAAUAUGAUCCUCAAACAUAAAUGUCUCCCCUCCAACCCAAGUCCCUUAUACUUGCGCAUUUGGGUCCCACUGUCUGGAAUGCCUUCCAUUUUAUACCCUGUGUCCAAGGCUGUUGGGAAUUUUUAUAAAAUCAUUUAAGACUUUGCUGAAACACCCCUUCUUCUGUUAUCUUUUCCCUGGUUCCUAGUAACCUUGAUGGGAUGCCCAUGAGUCCAUGAUACUUUAAAAUUCUUAUUGGAGUACCCAGUACAGGAUUUGUUUAUUGCUUGUGACUUUCUUUCUCAGUAGACCAUGAGCUUCUGAGAGCAGGAACUUUUUUAACUCAUUGUCAUAUUCUUUAAAUUUAGUGUAAAACCCAACCUUGUCGAACAUUGUACAGCAAAAAAAAUAUUUGUUGAAUCUCAUCAUUCCCUCUCUCCCUUGCACUCUGUAUUCCAGUCCUAUUGAACUUUCAUUUCAUCCUGUUGAUUUGAUUCUUUCUUGUCCCUGUGCCUUGUGUAUUAUGUAUGUGUAUAUGAUAUUUAUAUUAUCAUGUGAUAUUACAGGCAGUACUGCCUGCAGUACUCCCUCCAUAUACCCAUUUAUUCCUUCUUCUUCUUAUUCUAAAAGGUUUUCCUGACUUUUGAGGGAAAUAGAUCUUCCUUCUCUAUGUCCUCACUACUCCUUGUACUAUCCCCAAUAUCAUACUCUGUGCCCCUUCUGGAAACAAGAAACCUGAAGGCAGGGGCCAGAUCGGGUUUGUUUACCACUGUAUGCCCUGUACCUGGGGCACUUACUGACAUGAAGUGGUUGUUCAAUAAAUAUUUCUUGAAUAAAUGGUUGAAUAAAU
rnacentral:lncRNA from 10 species